AGCUCAUCUGUCUCAGCCCCAUUUAUUUCUCCUGGGUGAUGAGAAGACCUGUGCUUCUCCGUUAAAAGGCACUAGGAAAGAAGGAGUUAAAGUGAAGGCAGGCUCGCUGGUUUGCUGAGAUCUGUCAGAGGCUGACUGGCUGGCUACAUAUCUGUCUCUGGAACAAUAGGUACCUGUAUUCUGCAUGGGCUGCUGGGCAGGCAGUACUAACACUCUGGAGAAGGUCUGCCUCUGUCUGAGCCUUCCUGGUGAGAUUCCCCAGUAACAGUCCUACUUUUCAGAGGAGAGAGAGAGAGAGAGAGAGAGAGAGAGAGAGAGAGAGAGAGAGAGAGAGAGAGAGUUUGAGGCUGUCUACUCUGUUGAUAGAGGACAAAGCUUUGAUCAUUUUUGUUCAGGCUUCACUUGGUGAGAGGUUUUAGGUUCUUAGUCUCAAGUCAGUAGUUGUGCUGCCUUCCCCCCCCCUCCCCUUUCUUUCAUAUUCUCUUUCUGCCGCCCUCCCUCUCUCAUUUCUCCUCAUAGGUUCAAUGCAGGCAGAUGAGUGCCACAGCUGUAACUGAGGCGUAGAAUAAUCAACACAUCGGAGCCAAUCCCCCUGACACCAAGAGGGGAAUCCGGCAGAGGUGACCGACCGCGAGGACAAGACCGUUCUUCUGACAAGUUUUAGAUACUCAUGCUAAUGGUGUCACGGAAGAAGCGAUGUAUCGACAGCUCAGGAUGGCUGCAGGGGACAUAUUCAGACGUGGCCCAGAUUGUCUGCCCAUGGGGACUGAGAUACCUCUGAGAUUUAUAUCAGAUCUCCACAGUCUUUGUCGCUGUAUUUUGUUAGAAAGAAAGGCGAGGCUGUUUCUACAGGUGCCACAGAAAAAUCGAUGCCGAGUCACGGAUUAUUGGAUCCCACAGAACCAUGGAGACUUGGCGGUGAAAUUCUUCUAAAGUUUCUUCUGGCUAUCAGAGAGUUGAAAGGGGAAAAAAAAAUAAAGAGCCAAAGCUGUUUCAACUUCUUGGUUGUUUUACUCCAUGGCUUAGCAUUCCAUCUGCGCAGGCAGAGGUGUUCCUGGUUUGGGAAGUAUAAAUCCCGCGGGAAGUCAACUGGAGAACAUUUUACGCGUCCGUCACUCAUCCUAUUAUGAGCCUGCUGCUCUUCCUUCUCUGGACAAGCCUAAACUUUAAGAUUUGCUGAACAAACCUUGUGUCAAAUUUGGACCACCUAGACAGUAUUCCACCCUGAUUGUAUCCCAUGUCACUAUUCUGUGCAAGGCCACCGACUAGAAGAGCACAGAAUUAUUAAAAAGAAAACAAAAAAAAAAACCAAAAAAAACACAGCUGAAAGUGAACGUCUUUGGAUUUCCCAUUUAAUGAGUUGGCAGCUAAAGGACAGGAGCAGCAAUAAGGCUGCCUGGCUACAUUUUCAUAGUGCCACCAACUGCGAGUUAAGCUGACAAACAUUUUGAGAGCUCGGCCCAUUUCAUUCACAGCAGGAUGGCAGGAGUUAACUAACACUGUAAAAAAAACCUAACUAAAAAUCGUGCCUUUACUGCACAUUUGCACAGAAUCUCAGGACUGAAAGUGUCGAAGUUCUGCUCGACAAGCGGGUGACUGAUUGUCCCUGCCAGCUGGCUAAUAUCAUAAUUAGCAAAGUUGCUACCACAUCUGCAAAGUUUAAUCGAAAAAUUUACCAGUGGUAUGAUGGCAUUGUCACCAUGAUCCCAAGGGAAUCGGAGUCGACUUCUGCUUCAGGAGGAACGGCAAGGCUGUAUAGCUGAGAUGAGAAAUUGUAAACUUGCUCAGCCAAAGGUUAUGCUUCGCAUCACCCACCAGGGAGGAUCAUCUCUCAUGAAAACUUUCAAAUUUGAUUUUGAAAAUUUAUUCAGAAAAAUUUAAGCCACGCUCUUUUUCAACACAGAAAAUAAUAUGCUCCAGAGAAUCCUCUAAUUCACAGAAAAUGGACUCGGAUAACAUUUGGGUUCUCAUACUACCACAGUUCUCUUGAGAAGGACAGCCAGGAGGCUAAUAAUGAAGGGGCCAGGGAAGGAGGCCAAUGCUACAAGGGUUAUCUCUCAACCUCAGAUGUUGGAUAAGUCAGGGAACAGCGUCGUUUCUGGAUGGCUUCAGACAGGCCGGACUGACUGUUUGGAAGAGAAAAACCUGCUUAUUCUUUCAAAGGUACAUGAAUGUUGUCCACACCUUCCCGUCUAAAGGUUAGAAUCUUGCCUUAGACAAAGGAUGCUCUUGGAGUCCCACCACACCUAAAACCACGCUUUGAAGGAUCUGCCAAGCUCACUUUUAAUCAUGAGAAAGAAAUUACCCACAUGGAGACAGCAGAAAAUGAGAAAGGAGAGAUCGUGCUGCGAAUAAUUCCAGCGAGUGCCAAGGGGCUAGUUGAGGAAUGGCUUCAUGAGGUGAAUAUCUUAGCUUGUACUUAGAAUUUGGUUAGCGUAUAAUCAGUUUCUCUUUUAGGAGCGAAUACAAUCCUAAGUGUAUUUCCCAUCUGAGCACCGCUCAGGGCAUUUAUCAGGAUGUUGACAUAUUUAAUAUCGGCCUCGUCCUCGCCGUUAUUUAUGAUGACUAAUUUUACACUUAUAAAUAUGCAGAAAUCGAUGUAGGUGGAAAGGCUCUCUGAGCCCCAUGUCUGUCGCUAGCCGUCUGUCUUCAUGUGCAGCGCUCUGCUAGUGUGGCCUGUCCAGUAAUGUGUGUCUCUGUGUAUGUGCGUGCUCUUGUUGUCUCCUCUCCGCUGUGAAUGUGCAUUGGGAGAAUUAGCCUUAUGACAGGAUAUCAAAAGAUGGGCCCAAGACUUUCAUUUUUGGAAUGGAAAGAAAAAAUAAUGCGUAACACUUUGUAUCACAUCAGUUUCAAUUCUUCCUGAGAGGGAGGGGGCCAAUCAGGUAUGAGUCAUCACAGGGCAAAGCAACCAGGAUUCAAAUUGAACAUCACCUUCAGUGUCAAAUUAGUUGAAAGUCCCCCUUUUCCUUUACGGUGACUGGCUGAAACCCCUGCCAUUAUGUCUGUUUGUUUUAAAAGGGUGGGGGGAGCUGCCUGAGUUCAUCCACAGUGCCAUGUAGCUUUUCUUUGUUUCAUUUUUCUAAGGAUCAGAUCCAAGAAAAAUAAUAGGUUAGUAAUUCAAGACCAUCACUACUUACACGGUUCUCUCCCGGGCAUGUCAUUUCUUUGGGUGCCAAGUUUCAUCAAGAUCACUAAGUAAACAAAUGAGCGAUAACUUUUUUGCUCCUUUUUUCUUUUAAUUUGACUAGGGAGUAAGAACUGGGAAAGUCAAGUGUCUUUAUGAGUCACAGAGGAAGAAUGCAGGAACCCCCACCCCCACCCCCCAACUUCUGGUCUCAGACUUUGAUUUCCCACACAACCAAGUCACGGGAUCGCCAUGCCAACCUUAAGCAAUUUUGGCUCCCAGCAAUCCUGUGCUGGGGAAUCUUUCAAACUACCCUUCAAUCCGGGUCCAAAGGGCCACAGCACAGACUAGUAGAAAGAGUGCAUUAUCUGAGAAAGCACCAGGCUGCUUUCCCAUUGGUAUAUGUGUUUGGUGCCACGGUUAAGCACCGCUGGGGUCUAAUACGUGGAUGACCCCCUUUAUAGAGUGUGGGGGCUUCUGAGGAAAAGGCAAGCAUUGACUAAGAAAAAGAGUCAUUCUUCCAUGUGUUUUCAUAAAAGGACAAGGCAGGCCUCUUUGAGAGCUUCUGAAAGAGAAGAGGCAUGGGAGGAGAUGAGCCAGCUGGGGGUGGGUUGUUUUGGGGAGGGGAGCCAGCUGGGGAAUGGAGAGAGAGAGAGAGAGGCUGGGGAGAUAGCCAGCUGGGAGAAGAGGUAGGAUAAAGCCAAGGCACAAAGGUACAGGCAGAUGAGCAGCUGUGUUUAUUUGAAUACAUAUCAUUUAACCCUCACCUAAAAACAAAUUGGAGAGGUUUGGGAGUGCAUUAAUCUGGACCCAAUUAGCAUGUCUUUCCCCUUCAAAAGGUGCAACCUGAGAUUAAUGAAUAUCAACCAGAGUUUCAGAAGCAGCACUUAAAUCAUUUGCAUGUUUGUGCAUGAUAAUUGGAUUUAUGUAUGCACUUCCUUUCAUUUAACUAUUUCCAGUCUCCUUAUGAGUGAGUCAUACAACCCAAAACUUCAUUCGAGUGAUUUCUAGGUAGAAAUAGCUUACCUAGCAUUCUACCCCUAAGGGGGGAAAAACUCAAGUGGUUGUACAUUUUGAAUUUGAAUACCACAUUUCUUUCUUUUAUUAUUAUUUUUUUUAACAUAGAGGGCAGUUGAUAAUAGUGUGGAAUGCUGCUGCUUCUGGAGUUGGUAAAUAGGCACCACAGAUUUAUCUUUAAAAGGCUAGGAAAAUAAGGAAAUUUCCAACAUCAAGCUUUCAUGGCUUCCGUGUGGCCACUAGUAAGAGAUUUUAUAAUGCUAGGAACGAGGCCACUUGAAUGCCGCAUGGGGAAUGUUCUUGGUGUCUGGACCUGUGGCAAUUAGAUCACAGAGACAUCAGCAUCCAGGAUGGUUUAUGGCAUAGUUAGAAAUGUGUUUCUAUAGAAAGAGAUGGGAAUGCGGUCAACAUCUGUGAACUGCUGUGGACAGGCAAGGAGCAUUGUGAACCCUUGAUGCUGUGGGUUUGGUCCUUCUCAUUUCCUCCCUCCCUCCCUUCCUUCCUUCCUCCCUCCCUCUCUCCC
rnacentral:sRNA from 1 species